AGUAAUGGUCUGGGUAAACCUGCCGUGUAUGGAGGGGGAUAACUACCUCUCUAAACGGUAGCUAAUACCGGCAGUAACGUCGCAAGACCAAAGAGGGGGACCUUCGGGCCUCUUGCCAUCGGAUGUGCCCAGAUGGGAUUAGCUAGUAGGUGGGGUAACGGCUCACCUAGGCGACGAUCCCUAGCUGGUCUGAGAGGAUGACCAGCCACACUGGAACUGAGACACGGUCCAGACUCCUACGGGAGGCAGCAGUGGGGAAUAUUGCACAAUGGGCGCAAGCCUGAUGCAGCCAUGCCGCGUGUAUGAAGAAGGCCUUCGGGUUGUAAAGUACUUUCAGCGGGGAGGAAGGCGAUAAGGUUAAUAACCUUGUCGAUUGACGUUACCCGCAGAAGAAGCACCGGCUAACUCCGUGCCAGCAGCCGCGGUAAUACGGAGGGUGCAAGCGUUAAUCGGAAUUACUGGGGCGUAAAAGCCGCACGCAGGCAGGUCUGUCAAGGUCUGGAUGUGAAAUCCCCGGGGCUCAACCCUGGGAACUGCAUUCGAAAACUGGCAGGCUUGAGUUCUUGUAGUAGGGGGGGUGGAAAUUUCCAGGUGUUA
rnacentral:rRNA from 1 species